rnacentral:rRNA from 1 species
AACGAACGCUGGCGGCAUGCCUAACACAUGCAAGUCGAACGAGACCUUCGGGUCUAGUGGCGCACGGGUGCGUAACGCGUGGGAAUCUGCCCUUGGGUCUGGAAUAACAGUUAGAAAUGACUGCUAAUACCGGAUGAUGACUUCGGUCCAAAGAUUUAUCGCCCAGGGAUGAGCCCGCGUAGGAUUAGCUAGUUGGUGAGGUAAAAGCUCACCAAGGCGACGAUCCUUAGCUGGUCUGAGAGGAUGAUCAGCCACACUGGGACUGAGACACGGCCCAGACUCCUACGGGAGGCAGAAGUGGGGAAUAUUGGACAAUGGGCGAAAGCCUGAUCCAGCAAUGCCGCGUGAGUGAUGAAGGCCUUAGGGUUGUAAAGCUCUUUUACCCGGGAUGAUAAUGACAGUACCGGGAGAAUAAGCCCCGGCUAACUCCGUGCCAGCCGCCGCCGUAAGAC